rnacentral:misc_RNA from 1 species
AGGCCGCCGGCGUCAAAGUCGACGUGCUGCCGGCGUUUGAGAGACCGAGCGGCGUGCAAGAAAUCGUCGGGCAACGGCUUCAAAUGAACGCAAAACGUUGGAAAGCAAACAACCGGCAAAAGCCAUCAGCAGCUAAAAAUAAAACUGCAACUAUCAAAGUGAAUCUGUAGAGAAAGAGUGAUAGCUCAGUGUGCCCAGUGUUUAUUUAAUUACUUAUUUAAAUUUGAUUUUCAAAAUAAGUUGUGAUUUUGGUUCGUUUGUUUGUUUCCCCAUUAAAUCGCAUCGCGGAACUGGUUUGCAUUUUGUAUCUUUUAUCGCUGCAGUUCGUUUCUGUGUGGUUUCAUGUAUUCCCCAUCUAUUCCAUCUCUUUUUGCAGAUACAAGUGAAUGAAACCCUAACGUUUAAACGCCACCAUAAACACCAAAUAACAAAUUUUCUGGCAAACAUGGCAUGUCACGGUCCCAUUUAACGUGGAAAAUCGGCCCAGAAAUUCAACACGACGACAACUUUUUCGACUGUCCCAGAAAGCAAAUAUGUAAAGUGUAUUUGUGUGCGUGCCAUUGACAUUGACUUAUGGUCAUGAAGGGGUUAGGGGGACGGGUCUAAGGGUGGGGGUUGAUGGCUAAAGGGGGGUCUCGCCGCUACGACAAAAACUUGGAUUCUCUCGUUUCUUUUUUGUCUUUCGUCUUCAACGCACAUUUAUGGUUUGUUUUGCUCACACACACACUCAAAAAGCCUACGCAGCGGCAGAGAGGGCACAAGCAGCAGAGAAAGAGACGAAACAUGUCUCGGAUGAUGAUAAACGCCUCUCGUCUAUUUUGGCGGGUCCAUGAAUGAAACAAUUGCCUCGAAUGACUGACUGCCAGACAGAUAGCUAGAAACUGCCCUUACGGCGGGCAAAUUGGGGUAUUUUGGGUUUCGGUGACUUUGAGGGACCGGGACCUGAGGGCCCGGAAAGCCGACAGCAAUAAACACUGUGCUCAGACAAAAGUCUGAUGAGACAGACCAUCAUGAUGCUCAUCAUCAUCGGCGAUAAUAAUGAUUUUCAUUUGCACAUUCCACCCGUUUCGCUGUUGCCGGCUUCCAGCAUUCAGAUUCAGUUUGCAUUCAGUGGGGCAGGUUAUUUAUGGCACUUUUCCUAUCGCCACUCACUGGGGUAAUCGAUUUUUAUUGGAUUAAUAUUGCUUUCCGCAUGAUUUGGCCUUCUUUUCGUUAUCACUUAGCAGGUUUCUUGACGCUGAGGAGUGGACAAUGACUAAAACUCAGUCAUCUGGAAAAGCUGGACCAAGGACAUCCAUAUACAAGUGCUGGCUAAACGUCUGUGGUUAUCGCAAUCAUUUAUGGCGGAAUAGAAGGACACGUCUUAUGUGUCGAUUUUCGGGCCCCAUCCCUGUUGAAAAAUCAGCCGGACAGCAGCAACCACCGAACACAAGACACAGGACGACCGGAAGUGAGGAAAACGCUUGUAAAAUCGGUGCACACGAGUGCGAGCGAGACACGAGCGAACGGGCCGAAAGGAAACGACAAUUACGAGGACACGCCGGCUUGCUUUUCUGCUUUUCCUGUCUGCUCCUUUCAGUUGCGGCCGUGCAAUCGUCGGGUCAACAACGCCGCGUGUCCGAUUUCAAUUUACAAAUUAGAAUAUACAUCUUUACAUCUGGAUUUGGUUUCAUCUUUAUCUGCAUUUGGAUCCGCGACGACGCAUAAUUUUCAGCACUUUUGAAUAAUGGCGAUUCUGUGCGACCUCGUAAACGUAUACUGAAUGUAUCCUGAGUGUAUCCUAUCCGGUAUACCUUCAGUAUACGUAACACGAGAGAGCACUAGCAACGUGGGAUGUGAAACACUUUUUAAGACACCUUAAUACACGUAGCACUUUGUUAUAUGGUCUUACACUUUUUAAAUAUCUCGACUUAUAAAUAUAUAAUUUAAAUAUAAAUACUUUAAUAAUGCGAUAUAAGUUA